UACAGAGGUCUCAAGCGUUGUUCGGAUUCAUUGGGCGUAAAGGGUGCGUAGGUGGCGCCAUAAGUCAGGGUGUGAAAUCUCGGGCUUAACUCCGAAACUGCAUUUGAUACUGUGGUGCUUGAGGACUGGAGAGGAGACUGGAAUUCACGGUGUAGCAGUGAAAUGCGUAGAGAUCGUGAGGAAGACCAGUGGCGAAGGCGGGUC
rnacentral:rRNA from 1 species